CUCGCCGUAGCUCAGCCCGGAAGAGCACAGGCCUCCGACGCCUGGUGUCACAGGUUCAAAUCCUGUCGGCGGGACCA
rnacentral:tRNA from 1 species